CCUAGCUCUAAUCUCGUCGAUCUAGUUCGCGAAUUGAGUGCGGUUUUUGGUCGUGAUCCUCCUCUCUAUUCCCAACGCCGCCCAAACCCUAAUCCUAGUCCUAGCCCUAGCCCCACCCCCAAUUUUGCUGCGAAUCCGUCCAGUAUAUCGCAUUCCUCGAGUUUCGGGUCAUUGGGUCCCUCUGGAGGACAUACUGGAUAUCCUCGUCCGAUGAAUAGGCCGU
rnacentral:misc_RNA from 1 species